GGCAGGGGAUGAAACUGAAUGAGCUCUAAAAUCCCUUCCAACCCAGAACCGUUCUGAGAUUCCAGGAUUCUAUGAAAUACAGAUUUGGAAUUGCCCUAGAUGGAUGUACUAGCUGUGAUAGUGUUCUAACAGUAUUGAUAAUAUAGUGUUAGCCCAGAGCCAGAGCAGGAUCAUCACAUCUCCACAGGCCCUGUUCCUUCAGGGCCUUUCCUGAUGUCAGCUAUGCAGCUUGCCAUCCACAGAGGGCUAUUGGACUGCCUGUGACUGCGAGAGAGAAGGUGAAGACCUUGCUUAAGUAUCUGGCUGAUGGCUCGUGGAAAACAUGUUUGAAAGCAUCUACAGCCCUUCCUGGAGGAAGAUGUUCAUUACUGGUGCUAUACAGAAUCCAAGGAAUGCCAAGGCUCUAAAUCCUAAACUCUGCAGUGGUUCAAAUAAAGAGCAGGACCUGUUGCAGGGAAACCUGAUUGCUGGUACUUCUAAAGUGCUUGGAAAACCAGAGAGUUCAGCUGGGCCUGGGGAGGGCAGGGGCAGCUGGGGGCUGGCUGUCUUCUUGAGCUAGAGAGCGAGACACUCUCAGAGCUGUUGUGGCUUGGAGAAGGGAAUUUGCCAUCAUCCAGAUGGAGCUGCUGCUUCUCCUUCUUUCUUCUGUGUUGGUGGGCC